rnacentral:rRNA from 1 species
GACGAACGCUGGCGGCGUGCUUAACACAUGCAAGUCGAACGGUGAAGGGAUCAGCUUGCUGGUUCUGGAUGAGUGGCGAACGGGUGAGUAACACGUGAGUAACCUGCCCCCUUCUUCUGGAUAACCGCAUGAAAGUGUGGCUAAUACGGGAUAUUCUGCGCCUGCUGCAUGGUGGGUGUGGGAAAGAUAUUGUUUCGGUGGGGGAUGGGCUCGCGGCCUAUCAGCUUGUUGGUGGGGUGAUGGCCUACCAAGGCGGUGACGGGUAGCCGGCCUGAGAGGGUGGACGGUCACACUGGGACUGAGACACGGCCCAGACUCCUACGGGAGGCAGCAGUGGGGAAUAUUGAACAAUGGGCGCAAGCCUGAUGCAGCGACGCCGCGUGAGGGAUGGAGGCCUUCGGGUUGUGAACCUCUUUCGCCAGUGAAGCAGGCCUGUCCCUUGUGGGUGGGUUGACGGUAGCUGGAUAAGAAGCGCCGGCUAACUACGUG